AAAUUAUUUCAUAUUUUUCUACACCUGAUUCAUCCCUCAGUUUGGGAAAGUGUGUUCAGUUGAUACUGUAUUUUUUGUCCAAUCACACUGUUCAGAUACAUUGACUUAGGUAGGGUACACAAAAGAGCAACCUAAAUUCUGGAAUGCAAAUACUGCCGUGCCACCUAUACUACUGUUGCCUUUAUUGGAUUGACGGAGGAAGGGACUGUUUAUCAUGUUCAGCAAAUGGACACGGAUCCACAACUCAUUCCACAGUCUAACAGUAUAUGGUGGAAAUGUAUAGUGAUAGAAGAGAAAACCUCGCUGAGAGUGAAAGCGAGAGCUUUAGGGCGAUCCUGCUGAAGUAUGGAGAUUCGUUAUAUGAUUCGACAGGAGAGCCAGGUAUGACAGUAUGACAACGAUUGGUAUGCAUAAUAUCAAAUUGAUAGAAGAAAUUCAAGUUAAGGACCUCCAAGACAAACACCUGUUUUUAAACGUCAGGCUAUAUAUGAUGAAAUUAAGAAAUUGGAGGAUAAGAAACUUAUUGAAAAGUCCAAUAGCCCCUGUUCUUCUAGUAUUAGUGCAAAAGAAAUAUCUUACGUGGCGGCUGUGUGUUGAUUAAAGGAAAUUGAACGAUAAGACGAUCAAAGAUUCCUACCCGAUCCCUAGAAUGGAGAAUAAUAUAGACGCACUCAGUGGAGCCAAGUGGGUGUCAGUUUUGGAACUGUGUAUGGCUUAUCAGGUGCAUAUGAAUCCAUACAAAAAAGGGACAAGGAAAAAACUCCAUUUACUACGCUCAGAGGUGGUUUAUAUUAAUAUGUUACGAUGCCAUUUUUGAUUGUGCAACGCAGGAGCUAGGUGUCAAAGAAUUAUUGAGACAGCAAUGCGAGGAUUGCAGUGGCAUGUUCCAGUUUUAUACCUAGAUGAAAUAAUAGUGUUUAGUGAAAUACUUGAUGAACAUUUGAUUAAUUUGUAGAAAGUCUUACAGAGGUUAUCAGAUGCCGGAUUAAAGCUCAAGGCUGCAAAGUGUAGUUUUUUAAACACGAUGUUAAGUAUCUCGGACAUAUUCUGUCAACAGAAGGGGUGCGGCCGGAUCCUUCUAAGGUACGGCCAAUAUUCAAGGUUGAGUCCCCGCA
rnacentral:lncRNA from 1 species